UGAUGAUUCUUCAUCAAAAUAUGGUUCUGCUUUUCAGCAAUAAGUAAAACAGAGAUCAAAUCCAAAAAUUUGGUGAACUUUUGUGCCAUAUAUUAUUGCUGCAGGACAAUAUUGGUGGCAUAGAAGAUCGAAUAGGUCUUCUCCAGGAGAUCUGAUUUAGUUAGUUCCACUUUACAGGAGUUCAGAAGUUAUCGAAUUCUAUAAACUUCAGAGUUGUAUUCAUUCACAGACUUAAAUUCUUAGAAACAAAGAUGCUGCUAGUGGUGUCUUACUUCAGGAAAGUAGAUAUCUUUCUGGUGAUCGAAACAGUCGGCUAGAGCAAGCUAGAGGGUGUGAAGGUCAUCUUCAGCGAGGUAUUCAGUCUGCAGUGCAUCAUAGAUGUGUCUUCAAAUAAAGAUCAUUGCAUUACCUUUCUCAGCUUCGUCGACAAGUUUGUCGUCAAUAGGUGCCUCGAUGGUGGCUCUAAUACCCUUUGUAGUAAGAUAGAGCUUCACGUCUUGAACCCACUUCAUGUAGUUUCUUUCAGAUAUUUCCAGAGCGGUGAAACCGAGCUUGUUCAAGUUCAACGCGUCCCUAAAACGGAGUGUACAACAAAAACGUGGUUAGUCAUAUAGUGAUCCAUAGACAUAUAUAGUAGAACAUUCAGGUUUUAUAAACAUGUAUUGGUUUAAUUUAUGCAUGAAAGCUACAGGUUUCAUGUGGUAGGUUUUAAAUGAAAACUUUAGGUUUCAAAGGCACUAAAUAUGAAACUAUAAGUUCAAUUUAGUUUUAUGAACGAUUAGUUCAUAAAGGAGAGAUUCCUGCAAGAAACACAUAAUGCAAUAUGCUUGUUUAAGUAUAGUAGAUUUGAGUUGCUUCAAGAACUCAAGUGUGAGAGCUUCGAGACUUCGAAAUUCAAAGUAUAAAAAUAAAUUAUUGAAUCGUUAAUGUCCAAAAGUGAUCUUCAGGUUAAUAAUUUUGGAUUCAUUAUCAGAUAAGUGGAUUGCAUGUCACUUUUAAUUAAUUCAAUAGAUCGAGACCAAACGAGGUCUAUCGUGGAAGAAAAAUAAUAUGGGAGAAGAGCCCUGCAAGUUUGGUUGCAGGCUUAUUGGGCCUUAGGGAGGGCUGCAGGCCUCGGGCCAAGCGUUCUGGGUGAGCCCAGCAACCGAGGCUGCUGGCUUUAGGCUAAAAUUGGACAAAGGUGCAGGCCUAGUGAAAGCGACCUUUUGGUUGGUCCAGGGAAGCCUAGCCAAAGCUAGGUUUCAAAUUUUGGGUUCGGGGCAGGUCAAGCCCAACAGCAA
rnacentral:lncRNA from 1 species